ensembl:lncRNA
CUGGUCCCACUUUCGCUCGGCGGAUGUGGAACCAGCCCGGCCUGCACAGAGCAUCCGUCGUUGAGGUUGAACCGUCACCGUUUGAUCGCGCUCGCGACAAAAGAGAGGAAGGUGACGAAGAGGAGGACGAAGGUCGCCGUGUGGAUUCCUUGAGACGGCGUGGAUGUGGUCGGACACGCCAGCAGCAGCUUGGGUGUUUUUCUCUGCGCGGGGCAAGUCUGCCAUCUACCGAGGAGGAGGCGAGGGUUUCAGCACCUCCCCGGUGUUCUGGACACGCAACAGGCCCAUCGUCCGGUCUGUCCUCCGGUCUUCCUCCACGGCGCCG